AGCAGUACCGCGGUAAUACGUAGGUCCCGAGCGUUGUCCGGAUUUAUUGGGCGUAAAGGGAGCGCAGGCGGUUUAGUAAGUCUGAAGUUAAAGGCAUUGGCUCAACCAAUGUAUGCUUUGGAAACUGUUAGACUUGAGUGCAGAAGGGGAGAGUGGAAUUCCAUGUGUAGCGGUGAAAUGCGUAGAUAUAUGGAGGAACACCGGUGGCGAAAGCGGCUCUCUGGUCUGUCACUGACGCUGAGGCUCGAAAGCGUGGGUAGCGAACAGGAUUAGAUACCCCCGUAGUCCCUGUCUCUUAUACAC
rnacentral:rRNA from 1 species